rnacentral:rRNA from 1 species
AGAGUUUGAUCAUGGCUCAGAUUGAACGCUGGCGGCAUGCCUUACACAUGCAAGUCGAACGGCAGCACGGGGGCAACCCUGGUGGCGAGUGGCGAACGGGUGAGUAACACAUCGGAACGUACCCAGUUGUGGGGGAUAACCAGUCGAAAGACGGGCUAAUACCGCAUGAUCUGGCGACAGCAAAGCGGGGGAUCGGUAACGACCUCGCGCGAUUGGAGCGGCCGAUGUCCGAUUAGCUAGUUGGUGGGGUAAAGGCCCACCAAGGCUUUGAUCGGUAGCUGGUCUGAGAGGAUGAUCAGCCACACUGGGACUGAGACACGGCCCAGACUCCUACGGGAGGCAGCAGUGGGGAAUUUUGGACAAUGGGGGCAACCCUGAUCCAGCCAUGCCGCGUGAGUGAAGAAGGCCUUCGGGUUGUAAAGCUCUUUCGGUAGGAACGAAACGGUUACGGCUAAUACCUGUGACUAAUGACGGUACUUACAGAAGAAGCACCGGCUAACUACGUGCCAGCAGCCGCGGUAAUACGUAGGGUGCGAGCGUUAAUCGGAAUUACUGGGCGUAAAGGGUGCACAGGCGGUCUCGUAAGCUGGGUGUGAAAGCCCCGGGCUUAACCUGGGAAUGGCAUUCAGGACUGCGAGGCUUUGAGUGCGGCAGAGGGAGGUGGAAUUCCCGUGUAGCAGUGAAAUGCGUAGAGAUGUGGAGGAACACCGAUGGCGAAGGCAGCCUCCUGGGCCAGCACUGACGCUCAUGCACGAAAGCGUGGGGAGCAAACAGGAUUAGAUACCCUAGUAGUCC